AACGAACGCUGGCGGCAUGCCUAACACAUGCAAGUCGAACGAGACCUUCGGGUCUAUUGGCGCACGGGUGCUUAACGCGGGGUAACCUACCCUUAGGUUCGGAAUAACUCCCCGAAAGGGGUGCUAAUACCGGAUAAUGUCUUCGGACCAAAGAUUUAUCGCCUUUGGGUGGGCCCGUGUUGGAUUAGCUAGUUGGUAGGGUAAAAGCCUACCAAGGCGACGUUCCAUAGCUGGUCGGGUAGGAUGAUCCGCCACACUGGGACUGAGACACGGCCCAGAAUCGUACGGGAGGGAGCAGUGGGGAAUAUUAGGCAAUGAGCGCAAGCCUGAUAACGCCGUGCGGGGUGAGUGAUCAAGGCGUUAGGGUUGCAAAGCCCUCUUACACGGGAUGAUAAUGACAGUACCGGGAGAAUAAGCACCGGCUAACUACGUG
rnacentral:rRNA from 1 species